rnacentral:rRNA from 1 species
GAUGAACGCUGGCGGCGUGCCUAAUACAUGCAAGUCGAGCGAACGGACGAGGAGCUUGCUUCUCUGAUGUUAGCGGCGGACGGGUGAGUAACACGUGGAUAACCUACCUAUAAGACUGGGAUAACUUCGGGAAACCGGAGCUAAUACCGGAUAAUAUUUUGAACCGCAUGGUUCAAAAGUGAAAGACGGUCUUGCUGUCACUUAUAGAUGGAUCCGCGCUGCAUUAGCUAGUUGGUAAGGUAACGGCUUACCAAGGCAACGAUGCGUAGCCGACCUGAGAGGGUGAUCGGCCACACUGGAACUGAGACACGGUCCAGACUCCUACGGGAGGCAGCAGUAGGGAAUCUUCCGCAAUGGGCGAAAGCCUGACGGAGCAACGCCGCGUGAGUGAUGAAGGUCUUCGGAUCGUAAAACUCUGUUAUUAGGGAAGAACAUAUGUGUAAGUAACUGUGCACAUCUUGACGGUACCUAAUCAGAAGGCCACGGCUAACUACGUG